rnacentral:rRNA from 1 species
GAUGAACGCUGGCGGCGUGCCUAAUACAUGCAAGUCGAGCGAACAGACGAGGAGCUUGCUCCUCUGACGUUAGCGGCGGACGGGUGAGUAACACGUGGAUAACCUACCUAUAAGACUGGGAUAACUUCGGGAAACCGGAGCUAAUACCGGAUAAUAUAUUGAACCGCAGGGUUCAAUAGUGAAAGACGGUUUGGCUGUCACUUAUAGAUGGAUCCGCGCCGCAUUAGCUAGUUGGUAAGGUAACGGCUUACCAAGGCAACGAUGCGUAGCCGACCUGAGAGGGUGAUCGGCCACACUGGAACUGAGACACGGUCCAGACUCCUACGGGAGGCAGCAGUAGGGAAUCUUCCGCAAUGGGCGAAAGCCUGACGGAGCAACGCCGCGUGAGUGAUGAAGGUCUUCGGAUCGUAAAACUCUGUUAUUAGGGAAGAACAAAUGUGUAAGUAACUAUGCACGUCUUGACGGUACCUAAUCAGAAAGCCACGGCUAACUACGUG